CCCUUCCUUCUUCCUGCCCGUACCUUUGUUGAACUGGUCUCUUCCGGUUACACAAUAAAGUAGGGUUAGCCUAUAAUGGCUGCCUUGCUCUGAGCUCUCAUGACAUGGUGUGCGAGAAGUCUGAGCUUGAAUCCACCAACGUUUGAAAUGGCUCACUUUCCUGCACCAGAAACUUUCAUCUCUGACAAUCCUGCUGCUUGGCCAGGAUGGAAAGAAAGAUUUGCUUGCUUCAGACUAGCUACAGAGCUCCACAAAGAAGAAGGCAUUGUGCAAAAAGUGAAAUGAUGAACAGAUGCCAAGAGUCAAAUAUUGACUGCAGAAGGCCUGUGUGUGAUGCAGACUUGAGAAACAAAUAAGAAGCUGAACAAAAAGGUUGAACAAAAACAAUAAAGGAGAUCUUCACCAAGUGCAAAGAAGAAGAAGAAGAAGAAGAAGAGAAAGGAAGGAAGGAAGGAAGGAAGGAAGGAAGGAAGGAAGAAAGAAAGAAAGAAAGAAAGAAAGAAAGAAAGAAAGAAAGAAAGAAAGAACUUUGUUUAGUUCUUGGAUUUUCCCUGCGGAUUCUUGGUUUUACAUUUCCUUUACUAAGGCUUGUCUUCUGAUUAGAACAUCUAGUCCAUCCUCCUGCUGUUUCUAGCAGCUGGUACUUCUGGAAAGCCCACGAGAAGGAUAUGAAGGCAACAGUUCUCCCUCAUUGUUUCUCCCCCAGCACCUGAUAGUCAAGGUAAUAUCACAAGAUGACUCGACCAGCGUAGAGAUUUAUACAGCAUUCCAUCAAGGAUCUUGUCAGGAGAAUAGAUCAGACAGCAAAUGGCAUAUCAGCAGCACUGGAAAAGAACACAAAUGUGGACCUGAGGUCAAUUAUAUAGUCUUGCCACAUCCCGCGCAUGUCUGUUGAGAGCCGGUGUUGGAGACUUGGCACUGAUCCAUGCUGACAUCUGACGUGCAGCAGCCAGUGAAGCUGUCCUUCUAAGAUGAAAGGAAAGCACUGCAGUAACAAAGCAAGCCAGAGGCUAGUAGUGGGGGAAGAAUGGUGUUCAAUAAACCAAGGAGGAAAAGAAGCAUUUUGAGGUUGUACUGAAGAACCGCCACCAUUUUAUCUUUUUUUAUUUUUUAUUUUUAAAAAGUUAAGAGUGACCAGGAAACAGAAGAGAAUAGGAGUAAGAUAAAGUACAAAAAAGUGAGGGAGGAGAGGGAAACAGCGACAGAGGAAGAGAGAGAGGGCUGAAUUUGCAUGGUAAGGAAAUUAAAGGUAGUUGUUGGCUCAGUGAAGCACUCCACUGUUGAGAAAUGACCAUCAAGCAGCAAGAAAGACUUCUGACCACAAUUGUCAAAAUUAUUCUGUUCCCAAGUGGCAUUAACAUAUUCUCUCUCUCACUGUUAUUGGAAUUCUGUAACAUGAGUGUCUAGUGUAGAAUAUUUUUUCCUUAGAAUAACUAGGAUCACCCUGCAGAGGCUGCUGCCAGUGGCCGUGAAUUUAUUUCCCAGCAGCUGUCCAAUGCAGUAGGCUCUGAGCAGCUCCUAAGCCUCUUCAGAACUACACUACCCAGAAGGCCUUGCAUGGACUACCUGGACCCUCUUUUUUAAGCUUGCAAUGAUAAUAUUUCAUUGAUUUAAAGUCAACAGGGCCGUUGUGCAGUGUCACUGAGUUUUAAUAUGCUUUAUUUUAUUAUCCAAUGUAUUUAAGGGAUGUAUAAACUAUAAAAUACACUUUGCAAGAUGA